GUCAUACUACGGCGCAUCAAGGGAUAAAGUAAACGAUGACCCUGGUGGAACUCUGGGGUAAAAUGCGUAUCAAAAUGCAAAAACGCGUCUGGCCUGGAAGGAAUGUUCCGGGCAAGGCUAUUUU
rfam:Dickeya dadantii 3937, complete genome.